UAUAUGUUUAAUUACACAUUUAAAAAAAAAAGUAUGUUAAACACAAGCAUACUUUUACAGAGGUUUUAGUGUAUUUAGAAAAAAACAUAUUUUUUUUUAAACAUGUACAUUAAUUUUAAUAGGCUAACAUUGCAAUUUCAACAUCAUAUCAUUGAACUUGCAUUAUAUAUUGAUUUCACAAAGUUAGUCCACAUAAAUUUGUUAGUGUUUAUAUUCAAACAACACACGUGACGGACCUGACUAAACCUCAUUGGUUCUUGGGAUUCAGUACGUCACAUUGGCUUCCUGAUUCAGUUGUUCGAUACACAACGUGCGUGAUCGUUGGUAAAUGUGGAUUAAAAGUUGAAACUAAAACUGUUAAAUUAUAUAUAGUGAUCAUCAGAGGACUUGGGUGAAACAACGCGAUUCACAUGGAUUACUUCGGCGAUGUUUUUUAUUGCUGUUGCGAUUAACUUUUUGAAAUGUGAGCAGUUUUUAAGUAGGUUAUCAAGUGGAUCUGACAUCGUGGGGAAAUAUACGUUUCUUGGAUUUCAUUAAAGUACAUCGGUUUUUGUUUGAAGAUGAAUGAGAGAACAUGAGGCACAGCGGCAUUCAAAUUGACCAAUCAGAGCCGAGAAUAUCUAAUAAGUCGAAGUAGAGAUGAACAGAUGAAGAUACAGCCCGUAAAAAUACUUAUUCUUGGUGAGUGCCAUGUAGCGACGGAUCAAACGGACACUCAUGUCAAGCUUGAUGAGGACACAGUCAAAGCUUUAAAAGACCUUGUGAUUAAGUCUUCAGUGUCUGAAUGGCAAGAAGAAGUGACCCUCCACUUAAACGUGACAUUUAAACUGCUCUGUGUUUUGGUUCAGCCAUUUGUAGGUUUAUCUCGAGUAAGUUCAAAUGCACUUCUGCAUUUGUCCAGUAACUUUUUGUUUAGAGAAUUACAUCAUUAUGAUUAUAUAAUUAUUCAAUGGUUGCAUAUUCAUAGUGUACUUUUCAUAUUGAUGUAUUAAUGUUCCACAAUUUGAUAAAAGUAGCUCAUUGCAUUUCAUUGAUCUUUGUUUUAUAUUGUAAAAUCAUUUCAAUGGCAGUGAGUACAUACUUAGUUGUUUCUUUGACAUUUAAUUAGUUGUUAAUGAUGGAAGAAACCGGUUCGUAUGUAUGAAUACAGAAUAGGUAUCAUUUUAGAAUGAGUUAAAACAUGUUUUGGUGGCAAACAUGCAGGUAAAAUAGUACAUGUAUAACAUUCUAAUAGUAAACUUGACUGAAAUUCAAAUGUCACAUACAGUACAUUAGAAAUGAUUUAUUUUAUGUAUACAAAUGUGUGGGCAAUAUAUUAUUAUUUCAUUUUGUAUGCUAUAUUAUUUAUGUUAUAUUAUUAUAUCUGAAAUUAUUAAAUUACAUUUAUAAAUGUUUAAAAGG